GAAAAGAGAGCUGUGCCACUUUCUCAUCUCAGAAAACCCUUAUGGGUCAUGACAAGCUAUUUGCAAUUACAUUCAUUCAAAUUCUAAUUCUGCCCAAAUACAGUUGACAGGCUGCAGACAGGAAGGAGAUAAGAAGAAAGCUGGGUAGGAGGAGUCGAUCCCCGUGGUUCGAGAGCUGUGCUGGUGAUGCAGGCAAGAAUCGAAGCCAAAGUCACAGCUUUCUACCAAGAUUGUGGUUUAAGCACUGGGCCACAGGAGUGAAAGAGACAGACUUCCUACUUUGUGAGAGCUCACUGCCUCCUGCCUCAGCAUACACCUAUGACAUCAACAGCUAAAGACAGUGGCUGCCAACCAGAGUCUUGAAGCAUCAUUGGGGAGACCAGCCCUUGAGAAUAUUCAGUCAGAGGAAUUCACAGCAGAAGAGACCAUCUACUAAUUUCCAUUGAGCCAAGUCCCAAUUAUAACGUGGCCACACAGAUCACCCCUUACGUGUCUCAGCAAUGUCUCAUUUAAAGG